AAAGAGGGGCUUGCGUCACAUUAGUUAGUUGGCAGGGUAAAGGCCUACCAAGACUAUGAUGUGUAGCUGGACUGAGAGGUUGAACAGCCACAUUGGGACUGAGACACGGCCCAAACUCCUACGGGAGGCAGCAGUAGGGAAUUUUCGGCAAUGGAGGAAACUCUGACCGAGCAACGCCGCGUGAACGAUGAAGUAUUUCGGUAUGUAAAGUUCUUUUAUUGAAGAAGAAAAAAUAGUGGAAAAACUAUCUUGACGAUAUUCAAUGAAUAAGCCCCGGCAAACUAUGUGCCAGCAGCCGCGGUAAUACAUAGGGGGCGAGCGUUAUCCGGAAUUAUUGGGCGUAAAGGGUGCGUAGGCGGUUUAAUAAGUCUAUAGUUUAAUUUCAGUGCUUAACACUGUCCUGCUAUAGAAACUAUUAGACUAGAGUGAGAUAGAGGCAAGUGGAAUUCCAUGUGUAGCGGUAAAAUGCGUAAAUAUAUGGAGGAACACCAGAGGCGUAGGCGGCUUGCUGGGUCUUUACUGACGCUGAGGCACGAAAGCGUGGGGAGCAAACAGGAUUAGAUACCCUGGUAGUCCACGCCGUAAACGAUGAGUACUAAGUGUCGGGAUUACUCGGUACUGAAGUUAACACAUUAAGUACUCCGCCUGAGUAGUACGUACGCAAGUAUGAAACUUAAAGGAAUUGACGGGACUCCGCACAAGCGGUGGAUCAUGUCGUUUAUUUCGAAGAUACACGAAAAACCUUACCAGGUCUUGACAUACUCUGCAAAGCUAUAGCAAUAUAGUGGAGGUUAUCAGGGAUACAGGUGGUGCAUGGUUGUCGUCAGCUCGUGUCGUGAGAUGUUAGGUUAAGUCCUAAAACGAGCGCAACCCUUGUCAUUAGUUGCCAGCAUGUCAUGAUGGGCACUUUAAUGAGACUGCCAAUGAAAAAUUGGAGGAAGGUGAGGAUCACGUCAAAUCAUCAUGCCCCUUAUGAUCUGGGCUACAAACGUGAUACAAUGGCUG
rnacentral:rRNA from 1 species